GUGAACUGGGAUCAUGGCUCAAUAUUGAUAGAACCCAAUCAACUCCUUACAGUGUUCAGAAUCUGCAUUUUCGUAAUGCGAAGGUCUGGGGUUCGACUCCCCACUUCGGCACCA
rnacentral:tRNA from 1 species